rnacentral:tRNA from 1 species
GUCAAGGUGGCCGAGUUGAUUUAAGGCGCCAAUUUCAAGUAUUGGUUUGAAAGGGCAUGAGUUUGAAUCCCAUUUUUGACA